rnacentral:rRNA from 1 species
AACUCUGGUAUUGAUUGGUGCUUGCAUCAUGAUUUACAUUUGAGUGAGUGGCGAACUGGUGAGUAACACGUGGGAAACCUGCCCAGAAGCGGGGGAUAACACCUGGAAACAGAUGCUAAUACCGCAUAACAACUUGGACCGCAUGGUCCGAGCUUGAAAGAUGGCUUCGGCUAUCACUUUUGGAUGGUCCCGCGGCGUAUUAGCUAGAUGGUGGGGUAACGGCUCACCAUGGCAAUGAUACGUAGCCGACCUGAGAGGGUAAUCGGCCACAUUGGGACUGAGACACGGCCCAAACUCCUACGGGAGGCAGCAGUAGGGAAUCUUCCACAAUGGACGAAAGUCUGAUGGAGCAACGCCGCGUGAGUGAAGAAGGGUUUCGGCUCGUAAAACUCUGUUGUUAAAGAAGAACAUAUCUGAGAGUAACUGUUCAGGUAUUGACGGUAUUUAACCAGAAAGCCACGGCUAACUACGUGCCAGCAGCCGCGGUAAUACGUAGGUGGCAAGCGUUGUCCGGAUUUAUUGGGCGUAAAGCGAGCGCAGGCGGUUUUUUAAGUCUGAUGUGAAAGCCUUCGGCUCAACCGAAGAAGUGCAUCGGAAACUGGGAAACUUGAGUGCAGAAGAGGACAGUGGAACUCCAUGUGUAGCGGUGAAAUGCGUAGAUAUAUGGAAGAACACCAGUGGCGAAGGCGGCUGUCUGGUCUGUAACUGACGCUGAGGCUCGAAAGUAUGGGUAGCAAACAGGAUUAGAUACCCUGGUAGUCCAUACCGUAAACGAUGAAUGCUAAGUGUUGGAGGGUUUCCGCCCUUCAGUGCUGCAGCUAACGCAUUAAGCAUUCCGCCUGGGGAGUACGGCCGCAAGGCUGAAACUCAAAGGAAUUGACGGGGGCCCGCACAAGCGGUGGAGCAUGUGGUUUAAUUCGAAGCUACGCGAAGAACCUUACCAGGUCUUGACAUACUAUGCAAAUCUAAGAGAUUAGACGUUCCCUUCGGGGACAUGGAUACAGGUGGUGCAUGGUUGUCGUCAGCUCGUGUCGUGAGAUGUUGGGUUAAGUCCCGCAACGAGCGCAACCCUUAUUAUCAGUUGCCAGCAUUAAGUUGGGCACUCUGGUGAGACUGCCGGUGACAAACCGGAGGAAGGUGGGGAUGACGUCAAAUCAUCAUGCCCCUUAUGACCUGGGCUACACACGUGCUACAAUGGAUGGUACAACGAGUUGCGAACUCGCGAGAGUAAGCUAAUCUCUUAAAGCCAUUCUCAGUUCGGAUUGUAGGCUGCAACUCGCCUACAUGAAGUCGGAAUCGCUAGUAAUCGCGGAUCAGCAUGCCGCGGUGAAUACGUUCCCGGGCCUUGUACACACCGCCCGUCACACCAUGAGAGUUGUAACACCCAAAGUCGGUGGGUAACCUUU